rnacentral:rRNA from 1 species
GACGAACGCUGGCGGCGUGCUUAACACAUGCAAGUCGAACGGGCCCGCUCUCUUUUUUGGGGGUGGGUUGAGUGGCGAACGGGUGAGUAUCACGUGAGUAACCUGCCCCCUGCUCCUGGAUAACUGCUUGAAAGGGCGGCUAAUACGGGGUGUGCCGGCUGGUCCGCAUGGGCCUGGUCGGGAUAGUUUCAUCUUCGGGUGUUUCGGUGGGGGAUGGGCUCGCGGCCUAUCAGGUUGUUGGUGGGGUGAUGGCCCACCAAGGCGGUGACGGGUAGCCGGCCUGGGAGGGUGGGCGGCCACACUGGGACUGAGACACGGCCCAGACUCCUGCGGGCGGCAGCAGUGGGGGGUAUUGCACAAUGGGUGGAAGCCUGAUGCAGCGACGUCGCGUGAGGGAUGGAGGCCUUCGGGUUGUGAACCUCUUUCUCCGGUGGUGAAGGCCCUGUCCGUUGCGGCGGGGUUGACGGUAGCCGGGUAUGAAGCGCCGGCUAACUACGUG